AGGAGAGCAAACGUCUCUGGUGGGCGUCUUGGGCUUCAAACCCAUUGAAGGAUUAGGUGUCUAAUUCUUGGGGAGUUCGAUUCUCUCGCUCUCCUGCCA
rnacentral:tRNA from 1 species